rnacentral:lncRNA from 1 species
AGAUUUGUUCUGCUUAGCUAAAGAGGUCAGCAGCCACCUUACCUCCACACCGUGGUAAGAAGUCUCACCAAGUGAAAGUGUGAUGGGUGGUCAUCUCCCUAGACUGGAGAAAUGGGAAGAAAAGGAGGACUCUGCAGAGGUGAAUGAGAGGCACAGACUUCUCAUUGUUUUGGAGGAAAACAGAAUGGUGUGGUAUCCCAGAAGCUAAGACAACAAAGGGUUUCAAGGAGGAAGAGAACAACUGCAUCAACACCAAAUGCUGCUGAGAGGUUCAGGAAGAACUGGACUGAUGAUCUCACACAGGCCUGAGGCUGUGGCCAAGGCAGGAAAAUGUGGGAAUGGCCUUUCUCUGAACGUUGACCUCUGUCACCUGCCAAGCACCUUAUGAUUUCCAGUUGUACCUCCUCACCAGCCUCGCUCAUAGAUAAGCCUUCCUAUCUUAGUAAUAAUUAAAUGUUCUUGUCCGAAACCAAUAAAGAAGGUAAGAGAUU